rnacentral:rRNA from 1 species
UGUCGUCAGCUCGUGUUGUGAAAUGUUGGGUUAAGUCCCGCAACGAGCGCAACCCUUAUCCUUUGUUGCCAGCGGUCCGGCCGGGAACUCAAAGGAGACUGCCAGUGAUAAACUGGAGGAAGGUGGGGAUGACGUCAAGUCAUCAUGGCCCUUACGACCAGGGCUACACACGUGCUACAAUGGCGCAUACAAAGAGAAGCGACCUCGCGAGAGCAAGCGGACCUCAUAAAGUGCGUCGUAGUCCGGAUUGGAGUCUGCAACUCGACUCCAUGAAGUCGGAAUCGCUAGUAAUCGUGGAUCAGAAUGCCACGGUGAAUACGUUCCCGGGCCUUGUACACACCGCCCGUCACACCAUGGG